UGAGGAAUAUUGGUCAAUGGACGCAAGUCUGAACCAGCCAUGCCGCGUGCAGGAUGACGGCUCUAUGAGUUGUAAACUGCUUUUGUAUGAGGGUAAAAUUGGGUACGUGUACCCAACUGCAAGUAUCAUACGAAUAAGGAUCGGCUAACUCCGUGCCAGCAGCCGCGGUAAUACGGAGGAUCCAAGCGUUAUCCGGAUUUAUUGGGUUUAAAGGGUGCGUAGGCGGUUUGGUAAGUUAGAGGUGAAAUUUCAGGGCUCAACCUUGACAUUGCCUCUGAUACUGCCGAGCUAGAGAGUAGUUGCUGUGGGCGGAAUGUAUGGUGUAGCGGUGAAAUGCUUAGAGAUCAUACAGAACACCGAUUGCGAAGGCAGCUCACAAAACUAUAUCUGACGUUGAGGCACGAAAGCGUGGGUAGCAAACAGG
rnacentral:rRNA from 2 species